CAGGACGAACGCUGGCGGCGUGCCUAACACAUGCAAGUCGAGCGAGGAGAUCCUUCGGGAUGAUCCUAGCGGCGGACGGGUGAGUAACACGUGGGCAACCUGCCUCAUAGAGAGGAAUAGCCUUCCGAAAGGGAGAUUAAUACCUCAUAACAUUGCAGUUUCGCAUGGAACAGCAAUUAAAGGAGUAAUCCGCUAUGAGAUGGGCCCGCGGCGCAUUAGCUAGUUGGUGAGGUAACGGCUCACCAAGGCGACGAUGCGUAGCCGACCUGAGAGGGUGAUCGGCCACAUUGGGACUGAGACACGGCCCAGACUCCUACGGGAGGCAGCAGUGGGGAAUAUUGCACAAUGGGGGAAACCCUGAUGCCAGCAACGCCGCGUGAGUGAUGACGGCCUUCGGGUUGUAAAGCUCUGUCUUCAGGGACGAUAAUGACGGUACCUGAGGAGGAAGCCACGGCUAACUACGUGCCAGCCGCCGC
rnacentral:rRNA from 1 species